rnacentral:lncRNA from 1 species
GCGGACUCAGAAGCGAGCGGCACCCCGGGACCAUCCCACAGCAGAUCCAGUGGCCGCCAACGUCAGGCUGGAGUUGCCUCCUUCGUGGAUGUUGGAUGUGGAAGCCCAGGAGCCCCCCAAGGGGAAAUGGUCGACGCCGCCCUUCGACCCGCGCUUCCCCAGCCAGAACCAGAUCCGUAACUGCUACCAGAACUUCCUGGACUACCACCGCUGCCUCAAGACCAGGACCCGCCGCGGGAAGAGCACGCAGCCCUGCGAGUACUAUUUCCGCGUGUACCACUCGCUGUGCCCCAUCAGCUGGGUGGAGAGCUGGAACGAGCAGAUCAAGAACGGGAUUUUCGCCGGCAAAAUCUGACUGCCCCAGCGCGGCUUCCUCUGAAGAUGCAGUGAUCCUGCAUCUUUUUGUCUCGCGGAGCCCCGGGUCUCGGUUAUCCACCCCUACCUCCCAGUGUCUAAGCCACGAAUAAUGGUAUGCUGUU